AUUGAACGCUGGCGGCAUGCCUUACACAUGCAAGUCGAACGGCAGCACGGGUGCUUGCACCUGGUGGCGAGUGGCGAACGGGUGAGUAAUACAUCGGAACAUGUCCUGUAGUGGGGGAUAGCCCGGCGAAAGCCGGAUUCAUACCGCAUACGAUCUACGGAUGAAAGCGGGGGACCUUCGGGCCUCGCGCUAUAGGGUUGGCCGAUGGCUGACUAGCUAGUUGGUGGGGUAAAGGCCUACCAAGGCGACGAUCAGUAGCUGGUCUGAGAGGCCGACCAGCGACAUUGGGACUGAGACACGUCCCAGACUCCUACGGGAGGCAGCAGUGGGGAAUUUUGGACAAUGGGCGAAAGCCUGAUCCAGCAAUGCCGCGUGUGUGAAGAAGGCCUUCUGGUUGUAAAGCACUUUUGUCCGGAAAGAAAUCCUUGGCCCUAAUACGGUCGGGGGAUGACGGUACCGGAAGAAUAAGCACCGGCUAACUACGUG
rnacentral:rRNA from 1 species